rnacentral:rRNA from 1 species
UACGUAGGGUGCGAGCGUUAAUCGGAAUUACUGGGCGUAAAGCGUGCGCAGGCGGUUCGUUAUGUCCGAUGUGAAAGCCCCGAGCUUAACUUGGGAAUGGCAUUGGAAACUGGCGGGCUGGAGUGCGGCAGAGGGGGGUGGAAUUCCACGUGUAGCAGUGAAAUGCGUAGAGAUGUGGAGGAACACCGAUGGCGAAGGCAGCCCCCUGGGCCGACACUGACGCUCAGGCACGAAAGCGUGGGGAGCAAGCAGG